CCUACGGGGGGCUGCAGUGGGGAAUAUUGGACAAUGGGCGAAAGCCUGAUCCAGCCAUGCCGCGUGUGUGAAGAAGGCCUUCGGGUUGUAAAGCACUUUCAGUGGGGAAGAAAGCCUUGGGGCUAAUACCCUCGAGGAAGGACAUCACCCACAGAAGAAGCACCGGCUAACUCCGUGCCAGCAGCCGCGGUAAUACGGAGGGUGCGAGCGUUAAUCGGAAUUACUGGGCGUAAAGCGCGCGUAGGCGGUCUGAUAAGCCGGUUGUGAAAGCCCCGGGCUCAACCUGGGAACGGCAUCCGGAACUGUCAGGCUAGAGUGCAGGAGAGGAAGGUAGAAUUCCCGGUGUAGCGGUGAAAUGCGUAGAGAUCGGGAGGAAUACCAGUGGCGAAGGCGGCCUUCUGGACUGACACUGACGCUGAGGUGCGAAAGCGUGGGUAGCAAACAGGAUUAGAUACCCUGGUAUC
rnacentral:rRNA from 1 species